UACGUAGGAUCCAAGCGUUGUCCGGAUUUACUGGGUGUAAAGGGUGCGCAGGCGGACUUAUAAGUCAGAGGUGAAAUCUCACUGCUCAACAGUGAAACUGCCUUUGAUACUGUAGGUCUUGAAUUAGGGAGAGAUUCGUGGAAUUCCGAGUGUAGCAGUGAAAUGUGUAGAUAUUCGGAAGAACACCAGAGGCGAAGGCAGCGAAUUGGCCCUAUAUUGACGCUCAGGCACAAAGAUGGGGGAUCAAACAGG
rnacentral:rRNA from 1 species